rnacentral:tRNA from 1 species
GGACCCUUAGCUCAGUUGGUUAGAGUACUUCCUUGACAUGGAAGGGGUCACUGGUUCGAAUCCAGUAGGGUCCACAA